rnacentral:sRNA from 1 species
AAUAACCAGCUGCUGCUGCUGCUGCUGCUGCUGCUGCUACUGCUGCUGCUGCUGCUGCAGCUGCUGCUGCUGCAGUGGCAGGACUCUGUGCUGCUGCAGCUGCUGCUGCAGCUGCUGCUGUCGCUGCAGCAGCAACACCUGUCGGUGCAGCAACGAUUUCUACACAACCCUCUGCAGCACUCAACUGCUGCUGCUGCUGCAGCAGCAGCAGCUGCUGCUGCGGUAUUUCCUGCUGCUGCUGCUGCUGCUGCAGCAGCAGCAGCAGCAGCAGCAGCAGCAGCAGCAGCAGCAGGAAGAGUCC